rnacentral:rRNA from 1 species
AGCAGCCGCGGUAAUUCCAGCUCCAAUAGCGUAUAUUAAAGUUGUUGCAGUUAAAAAGCUCGUAGUUGAAUUUCGGGGUUAGUAGGUUGGUCAUGCCUCUGGUAUGUACUGGUCUCACUGAUUCCUCCUUCCUGAUGAACCGUAAUGCCAUUAAUUUGGUGUUGCGGGGAAUUUGGACUGUUACUUUGAAAAAUUAGAGUGUUUAAAGCAAGCUAACGCUUGAAUACAUUAGCAUGGAAUAAUGAAAUAGGACGUUCGAUCCUAUUUUGUUGGUUUCUAGGAUUGACGUAAUGAUUAAUAGGGAUAGUUGGGGGCAUUAGUAUUCAAUUGUCAGAGGUGAAAUUCUUGGAUUUAUUGAAGACUAACUACUGCGAAAGCAUUUGCCAAGGAUGUUUUCAUUAAUCAAGAACGAAAGUUAGGGGAUCGAAGACGAUCAGAUACCGUCGUAGUCUUAACCAUAAACUAUGCCGACUAGGGAUCGGAUGAUGUUAAUUUUUUUAAUGACUCAUUCGGCGCCUUA